rfam:Gossypium raimondii Chr07_contig_915, whole genome shotgun sequence.
AUCCCGUGGUGAGGACAUCUACGAAGUAAGUCAUUGAAUCUUUCUCACGCCUUGUAUAGGGACUCGUCAUCCAAUUGUUGAAAAGUGGUAAUCUCAUUUCACAACUU